rnacentral:tRNA from 1 species
GCCCAAGUGGUGAAAUUGGUAUACACGCUACUUUGAGGGGGUAGUGGACGCAAGUCCGUGCAAGUUCAAGUCUUGUCUUGGGCA